rnacentral:rRNA from 1 species
UACAGAGGGUGCGAGCGUUAAUCGGAAUUACUGGGCGUAAAGGGCGUGUAGGCGGGUGAAUAAGUCAGUUGUGAAAGACCUGAGCUUAACUUGGGUUGGUCAAUUGAUACUGUUUAUCUAGAGUGAAGUAGAGGGUAGUGGAAUUUCCGGUGUAGCGGUGAAAUGCGUAGAUAUCGGAAAGAACACCGGUGGCGAAGGCGGCUACCUGGACUUUAACUGACGCUGAGGCGCGAGAGCGUGGGGAGCGAACAGG